UAACUACUUCCUCGGUCUGAAAAUACUUGUCAAAGAAAUGGAUGUAUGUAGAUAAGUUUUAGUUUUAGAUAUAUCCAUUUUUAUCAAUUUCGACGACAAGUAAUUCCGAACGGAGGAAGUAAUAG
rnacentral:pre_miRNA from 1 species